GGUGGAGCGCAAGCCUCGGCGUGGAAGCCCUAUAGACGACGCAGGCUGGUGGGCGGGCGGUCAAGGUUCAGCGUGCAGCCUCGGAGGGGCACAGCUUUGUGCCGACAAAUGAUCUGGGAAGGUGCCGAUCGGGCCGCCUCUGGAACAGGACGAGCGUCUGAGGUGCCCCGGGCAACGACAGCUGCAAGGCCUGAUGUUUGAGCGCGCACGGAGCGAGUGA